GAGGAUGUCCAGCCCCACUGGAAUUGAGCCCCGGUCCAGAUUCUUACGGGAGGCACCAGUGGGGAUUAUUGCCCAACGGGCGCAAGCCUGAUGCGCCAUCCCGCGUGUUGGAGAAGGCCUUCGGGUUGUAAAGUACUCAGCGGGGAGGAAGGGCUUGUGGUUAAUAACCGCAGCAAUUGACGUUACCCGCAGAAGAAGCCCCGGCUAACUCCG
rnacentral:rRNA from 1 species